rnacentral:rRNA from 1 species
UAACACAUGACAAGUCGAGACGAAGCUACUUUUACUUUGUAUUCGUUCGGAUGGAAGGAGUUUUGUGACUGAGCGGCGGACGGGUGAGUACGCGUGGGUAACCUGCCUCAUACAGGGGGAUAACAGUUAGAAAUGACUGCUAAUACCGCAUAAGACCACAGCGCCGCAUGGUGCAGGGGUAAAAACUCCGGUGGUAUGAGAUGGACCCGCGUCUGAUUAGCUAGUUGGUAAGGUAACGGCUUACCAAGGCGACGAUCAGUAGCCGACCUGAGAGGGUGACCGGCCACAUUGGGACUGAGACACGGCCCAAACUCCUACGGGAGGCAGCAGUGGGGAAUAUUGCACAAUGGGGGAAACCCUGAUGCAGCGACGCCGCGUGAGCGAAGAAGUAUUUCGGUAUGUAAAGCUCUAUCAGCAGGGAAGAAACUGACGGUACCUGACUAAGAAGCACCGGCUAAAUACGUGCC